UAUUUGAUGCUGAAUUUGGAUGAGAUCACAUUCACUCAGUGAUGCACGUUUUGUGGCUUUUGCAUGUUUCAGACACUGUGCUAUCAGCUGAAGAGUUAGCAAUGAAAAGUCUAUUUUUAUGAGUUAUAAUUUCACCAGGUUUUAUGUAAUCGCAGCAAACUACGAUUCUCAGGGAAGAAAACAAGUGGGGACAGAGCUCUGGAGACACACAACAUCACUUUGAUUCAAGGAAGGCCUCUCUGAUAGACUUCUAAAACUCAAGAUGAGUUCUGUGUUGAGGCCAGAGCUUUGGAGACAUCCAGCUGGAUCCAUGUUUCCAUCCUCCAGGGAAGGUCUCUGAGCAAUGCGUCCCUGCAUAGAAUGCCACCUCAAUGUGCCAGAUUCCAAAGGGCCGCAAGCUGCUUUGAUUCUAGCCUCUGUCUUCUUGUUUCCAGUUUCUCAGUGAGCAACUGGAACCCUGGCCCAAAUCCCAGAGUGUUGAUUAGGGACCAACUGGAUUUGGAUUAAUUUUGUGGUUUUCGAUAUGCCUUUUACACAAGAGUGGAUGCCAGUUCCUAGAUGCCUCGGGUUGUGCUCGAGGCUGAUCUAAACCCCACAGGCCCCUCCAAGCCAUGCUGAUACACACCAUAAAUAAUUCCUACUGCGUAUGCAUGUAUGUACCUGCAUGUGUUUAAGAGAGAGAGAAAGAGAGGAAGAUUUUGAGGGAGAUGCUGAGACUCCUGCACUUUUGAGACAUUGUAUCCGUUGUACCCUGCUGCAAAUCUAUUUUGUCCCUCCUUCCUCUGUCUUAGCAUCUGCCUGUUUCCUACGUGGAAGAGAAUCUAGAAUCACGUUCUUGAUGGGCCGCUCUCUUCAACUACUUUUUGUUUCCUUUGUUAAAAAGGAACCACCUUGUUGCAGACCACAGCAGGACAACGGUUUUGGGGUACAUGUGCAGAACUUGGAACCAACCCAAAUGCCCAUCAAUGAUAGACUGAACUGGGAAAAUGUGGCACAUAUACACCAUGGAAUAUUAUGCAGCAAUCAAAAAUGAUGAGUUCAUGUCCUUUGUAGGGACAUGGAUGAAUCUGGAAAUAAGCCUCUUUCUAAUUCCACCCACUAGUUGGAGCUUCUGCCCUUGGGCAAAGAAGAGCAAGCUAAAACCUGAAUGGAAAAGCCAACCAAUGGCACCUGCAGAUAGAAAAUCAUACCAUCAUAAGAACAGAUUUCCAAGAAACUGUCAACUCUUCAGCUGCGGAUCAUGGUGAGCGGUGACUUGAAGGUCUCCAAAUGGUCCUUUGCUUUUGAAUACUAUGUCAAACCCCACGGGAGGAAGCAAGCACUUAGCUUCAGGCAAGGAAGACUGUAGCAAAGGCAUUGCCUCAUCAAACUCCCCCAGUUCUUCAGUUUCCUUAAAUGUCACUUUCUCUGAAUCUUUUUUUACAUUCCACUUUUAGGCAGAAGGAAGCAUUGCCUUAGCAGUGUUUUUCCAACCACCAUUCAUCGGCACUUCUUGUUUUAGCUGUUUUUCUCAACACUACUUCCAGAGCCUAAAAUAAUGCAUGACUCAGAACAAGUUCCCUGUAUUUGUAGAAUGAAUGAGUAAAGGUCAAUGGUGAAGUUCUGGCAUAGCUUAGUUAUGUAGCAGUCUGUCUCCCAAGAGUAUAAGCAUUUAAUUCAGGGGCUGUGUUUAAUGGCUGGCAAGUCAUAUCUGAGGAUAAGGAGGGCUUCACUUAUUGAGUUUGCUAGAUAUGAUGUUGAGUACCUGAGGUGAGUAAUCUUCAUUGAUCUUUGCACAAACCUAUGGGUAGAUAUUUUAAAGGUAAGAACACU
ensembl:lncRNA